rnacentral:rRNA from 1 species
GAUGAACGCUGGCGGCGUGCCUAAUACAUGCAAGUCGAGCGAAUGGAUUAAGAGCUUGCUCUUAUGAAGUUAGCGGCGGACGGGUGAGUAACACGUGGGUAACCUGCCCAUAAGACUGGGAUAACCCCGGGAAACCGGGGCUAAUACCGGAUAACAUUUUGAACCGCAUGGUUCGAAAUUGAAAGGCGGUUUCGGCUGUCACUUAUGGAUGGACCCGCGUCGCAUUAGCUAGUUGGUGAGGUAACGGCUCACCAAGGCAACGAUGCGUAGCCGACCUGAGAGGGUGAUAGGCCACGCUGGGACUGAGACACGGCCCAGACUCCUACGGGAGGCAGCAGUAGGGAAUCUUCCGCAAUGGACGAAAGUCUGACGGAGCAACGCCGCGUGAGUGAUGAAGGCUUUCGGGUCGUAAAACUCUGUUGUUAGGGAAGAACAAGUGCUAGUUGAAUAAGCUGACACCUUGUCGGUACCUAACCAGAAAGCCACGGCUAACUACGUGCCAGCCGCCGCCGUAA